AGCUAGUCUGAUGGUAGUGGAUCCCCAGAACUUAUUAACCUUAGUGUCACCAAUGUUGGUAUACAACCCCCCACAGCUAAAUUUGACUGGCUUUUA
ensembl:misc_RNA Y_RNA Y RNA